rnacentral:rRNA from 1 species
CGCGUAGGCGGCUGAUUAAGUCGGGUGUGAAAGCCCCGGGCUCAACCUGGGAAUUGCAUUCGAUACUGGUCGACUAGAGUACGGGAGAGGGAGGUAGAAUUCCACGUGUAGCGGUGAAAUGCGUAGAUAUGUGGAGGAAUACCAGUGGCGAAGGCGGCCUCCUGGCCUGGUACUGACGCUGAGGUGCGAAAGCGUGGGGAGCAAACA